rnacentral:lncRNA from 1 species
AUAAGCAUUGACGAAGCACUUGUUACUAUGAUUGCAUGAAACUUAUGCCAAGAAUUUACUUAACGCAAUUGAGAUCAUCAACCUUUACUACUUGUGAAUAUAAUUCCAUAACGAUUAGGUGAAAUUUCCUUAUAUCCUAGCAUUCAAUUUAUGCAUGAUAAUUAAGCGUGCACUCUCAACCAACACACACAAAUCAAUGUAAUUCACAUAGAUAAAUAAAUUGAAUUCACAACUUAUGAAACACAAUUAGAAGUAAUCAAAUCAUAUCACAAGCAUAAACAUGUAUUUCGAAUCCCCCCCUAGCCAAGGGGGGGUUUAGUUCCUCAUACGCACAAAACAAAGAGAAUUGAAUUUAAACAUUGAAAUCAAAGGAAAAGAAACACCUAGAAAUUCCAGCGACGCGAACUUGAAUUGUAUGAACUUCCAAGCUUCCUUCUCCUCCUCCUUGGUGCGGCAAAGGGUCUAGGGACAGGUUUAGGGCCUUAGGUGUAUGGAUGCAUGGUUAUGGAGGAAUGUAGUAGUGUUUAGGGGAUGGGAAUGGUGCGGCAAGAACUUAGAACUAGGGGGAAUGGUGUUUGGUGGCUGCGGCAAGAGUGUGGAGAGGGUUGGACGAAUUUCUGGAGUGAAUUGUGAAUUGUGGUGAGUGGUGAUCUGAUUUAGGGGUUAAUAUGAAUAUAUAUAGGCACUUAAAACCCUAGGGUAAUCAGAUAUGGACUUGGAUAACCCAAAUCCACAAGGAAAUAGGUCUAAACAAUCAGAUUUUGCAAGGAAAAGGGAUAAGGGUGCGGCAGCAAUGGGAUAAGGUGAUAAGGUUUCUAGAAUGCCUUGCAAGGCAAGGAAUUAGGGUAUCUAGAAGCUAGGGUGCGGCACCAAAGUAGGGAUUAAGGAUAGGGCUCCUAGAAAGCCCCAAAACUGAUAGGAAUGGCAUGAAACCCACGGCAAGGAUGGAAACUUUCUAUAAACUUCUCAUUUGUGUCCUACAACACUUAGGAGUCCUUCUAGGAUUAGGAAAACAUGUCUCAAUCCUCUCUUGACUUGGAAUUCUUCUCCUACUUCAUCUUGGAAACCUUUCCUUCUUGGACUUGGAAAUGUUCUUUGUAGCUGCAACUUGAUGCCAUUUGGAUUUAACUUUCCUACUUCGAGUAGGAAACCUUGUUUGAGUAGGAAUCUUCAUUCUUCUAGGAAUCCAUCUUCAACUAGGAAUCCCUCGUAGAUUAGGAAUCCUUCUUCAAUUAGGAAUCCUUUGUUGAUUAGGAUUUCAUCUUUUAAUUAGGCGCUUUCCCACUUCGACUAGGAAACCUUUUUCAAGUAGGAAACAUCAUCUUCAAAUCUUCAAUUUCGUCCAUCCUCUUGGCUCCAAGCAUAUGAUGUCCAUUCCAAGCUCUAAAUUGCUCCAAAAGGCUCCAAAAUGCAUCCUUUUGCAUACUUUGCCCUUAGAACCUGAAAACACAUAAAACUAGCUUAAAAGACUACUUUACUAAGGAAAAACACUAUAAAUGCACAAGAACAAGUGAUGUCAAAAUUAUGUUGACACUCAAAUUAACCCUCUUUUUAUCAAUUGUAGCAAAGUAUGUAAGUAGGGAUCGUUCUAAACCGGGGAUUAGGAGGGAUUGCAAAAUCACUUGAAAACUGACUCAAAUAUGUAAAAACAAGUUUAAAACACUAAACUAGACUCAAAGAAUGCAAAACUAAACUUUAAAACACCAAAACAAACCAAAAGACUCAAAACUGCCUUAAAAACACAAUCUGGGCAGUUUUGGACACUAAGCACCAAAUUGGACGAAUUUGGGUUUUAACUUGAAUCAAAACACUUAAAAACACAAAGUAAAACACUUACUAACUAAUUUGACACUUUAAAACAAAGGGGGAUUGGUUUUGGACGAAUUUAAAAACAAAACAAACUUUGUAAAUUAGAACAGAUUGUAAAAACGAAUUUGAUUUAAAUGGGUGAAUGGAAGGCUAGCUAAGGGGUUCAUCUCCACACAUGUUAUACUUGCAUACAAAACGAUUUCCAAUUGCUUUUCAAUAAACCAUGAAUUCUCAAUGCCCCAAGUUAAUUAGUUCCGCUUAAAUUAACCCUCAGAUUUUCCUAACGUUAUUGAAUUGGAUGAUUGCAUACGACAACCCAAAACAUUCCCCACAAGUCCCCUACAUGAUUGCAUAAUAGAGAUACAAGCAAGAAUCAUUAAGUUCUAUGAAAACCAUAAGCAUUGACGAAGCACUUGUUACUAUGAUUGCAUGAAACUUAUGCCAAGAAUUUACUUAACGUGAUUGAGAUCAUCAACCUUUACUACUUGUGAAUAUAAUUCCAUAACGAUUAGGUGAAAUUUCCUUAUAUCCUAGCAUUCAAUUUAUGCAUGAUAAUUAAGCGUGCACUCUCAACCAACACACACAAAUCAAUGUAAUCCACAUAGAUAAGUAAAUUGAAUUCACAACUUAUGAAACGCAAUUAGAAGUAACCAAAUCAUAACGCAAGCAUAAACAUGUAUUUCGAAUCCCCCCCUAGCCAAGGGGGGUUUAGUUCCUCAUAUGCACAAAACAAAGAGAAUUGAAUUUAAACAUUGAAAUCAAAGGAAAAGAACACCUCGAAAUUCCAGCGACGCGAACUUGAAUUGCAUGAACUUCCGAGCUUCCUUCUCCUCCUCCUUGGUGCGGCAAAGGGUCUAGGGACUAGUUUAGGACCUUAGGUGUAUGGAUGCAUGGUUAUGGAUGGAUGUAGUAGUGUUUAGGGGAAGAGAAUGGUGCGGCAAAGGUGUGGAGAGAGUUUGGACGAAUUUCUGGAGUGAAUUCUGAAUUGUGGUGAGUGGUGAUCUGAUUUAGGGGUUAAUAGGAGUAUAUAUAGGCACUUAAAACCCUAGGGUAAUCAGAUAUGGACUUGGAUAACCCAAAUGCACAAGGAAAUAGGUCUAAACAAUCAGAUUUUGCAAGGGAAAAGGGGUCCUAGGUGCGGCUGGAUAGGGAUAAGGUGGAUAAGGCUUCUAGAUGGCCUUGCAAGGCAAGGAAAUCAGGUUUCUAGAAGGGAUAGGUGCGGCACUUAAAGGAUAGGGCAGAUUAGGGCUUCUAGAAGCCCUCUAAUGCAAGGAAAACUCACGGCAAGGAUGGAUAAGGUUUCUAGAACAAGGAUAAGGUAUCCUAAAUGGAUAAGGACUCCUCAUUGCACUUGGAAACUUUGCCUAUUAGGAUUAGGAAACCUUGUCUUUGUCAUUCCUUCUUCAUUCUGGAUUCCUUUUCCUUCUUGGACUUGGAAAUCUUCUUUGUAGCUGCAACUUGAUGCCAUUUGGAUUUAACUUUCCUACUUCAAGUAGUAAACCUUGUUUGAGUAGGAAUCUUCAUCUUUCAAGGAAUCCUAAUUCAACUAGGAAACCCAUUUUGACUAGGAAUCCUAAUUCAACUAGGAUUCCAUCUUCAC